UGGUGAUUUGAGGUAAAGAAUUCCUGUUU
rnacentral:piRNA from 1 species